CACUUCCAAGCUCAGCAGACACCCAAAAACACCUGCAGGUCUCAGAGAAAAGGAAGUUAAAGAGGUUUUGCUCGUGGACGUACCUGCACCAGCACUUCAGUCAUCAGAGAAGCUGCUAAUUGAUCUCUCCAAUACCCCAGACCUGAUCAAGACUUCCUCUGGAAAGCCUUGGGGAGGACAGUUAAUUGAUCUGAGCUCUCCUCUUAUAAAGUGGAGUCCAGAGGACAAGAAAGAAAAUGCUGAGAAUGCAGCUCCACUGAUCGACUUGUCUUUUUAGAGGAUCUGCAAAAUUUACUGUGAAUUGUGCCAAGAAAAAAAUGAACUGGAGCAUUACAUACUGUUUAAUACUAUUGAAAUCAAAUUAAGAGGGAGCUUGGAUGCUGCUGUGCUUCAAUAGCCUUUGUGUUUUUAUUUGUGUUGUCUGUCUUACAUGAUUGUAUGUAAUUAUGGUGAUGUG